rnacentral:rRNA from 1 species
GACGAACGCUGGCGGCGUGCUUAACACAUGCAAGUCGAACGGUAAGGCCCUUCGGGGUACACGAGUGGCGAACGGGUGAGUAACACGUGGGUGAUCUGCCCUGCACUUCGGGAUAAGCCUGGGAAACUGGGUCUAAUACCGGAUAGGACUCCGGACUGCAUGGUCUGGGGUGGAAAGCUUUUGCGGUGUGGGAUGGGCCCGCGGCCUAUCAGCUUGUUGGUGGGGUGAUGGCCUACCAAGGCGACGAGGGGUGGCCGGCCUGAGAGGGUGACCGGCCACACUGGGACUGAGAUACGGCCCAGACUCCUACGGGGGGAAGCAGUGGGGAAUAUUGCACAAUGGGGGCAAGCCUGAUGCAGCGACGCCGCGUGAGGGAUGACGGCCUUCGGGCUGUAAACCUCUUUCAGCAUCGACGAAGCGAAAGUGACGGUAGGUGCAGAAGAAGGACCGGCCAACUACGUGCCAGCCGCCGCGGUAA